rnacentral:rRNA from 1 species
GAUGAACGCUGGCGGCGCGCCUAACACAUGCAAGUCGAACGAGUAAGACGCCUUCGGGCGUGCAUAGAGUGGCGAACGGGUGAGUAACACGUGACCAACCUGCCCCCUCCUCCGGGACAACCUCGGGAAACCGAGGCUAAUACCGGAUACUCCGGGCCCCCCGCAUGGGGAGCCCGGGAAAGCCCUGGCGGGAGGGGAUGGGGUCGCGGCCCAUCAGGUAGACGGCGGGGUAACGGCCCACCGUGCCUACUACGGGUAGCCGGGCUGAGAGGCCGAUCGGCCACAUUGGGACUGAGACACGGCCCAGACUCCUACGGGAGGCAGCAGUGGGGAAUUUUGCGCAAUGGGGGCAACCCUGACGCAGCGACGCCGCGUGCGGGACGAAGUCAUUCGUGACGUAAACCGCUU